CUUAAGCAGCUGAUAAAUGACACAAAGGUACAUCUGGUAAGUAUCUUGAUGAACAGGAGUUUUAUGCAAAAUUUGCUUUGUAGUUUGAGGUGUUUUCACCAGUUUGUCACAGUGGAAUUUAAAUAAAGUGAACAUACGUCAUAUUAAUGUGAUGGAAUAUUCCCUCUGUAUUAGUCAUUCCCAUCUCUAUAAUCACCUGCUAGCCUCUGUACCUACCUGUAGGUUCAGCAGUGAGGCAGAUUCCGUACGGGAGCCUGUGAAUUACAGCCGAAAUAAUUACUGGGUAGACUGACAUUACGCAUCUUUUUACACACAACCUGGGGGCUCAUUAUUUCAGAUCCUGGCUUGACUUUCUGAUAGGCAAAGUCCUCACUUUCCCAUACAAGGCCAAUCUUU